rnacentral:rRNA from 1 species
GAUGAACGCUGGCGGCGUGCCUAAUACAUGCAAGUCGAGCGAACGGACGAGAAGCUUGCUUCUCUGAUGUUAGCGGCGGACGGGUGAGUAACACGUGGAUAACCUACCUAUAAGACUGGGAUAACUUCGGGAAACCGGAGCUAAUACCGGAUAAUAUUUUGAACCGCAUGGUUCAAAAGUAAAAGACGGUCUUGCUGUCACUUAUAGAUGGAUCCGCGCUGCAUUAGCUAGUUGGUAAGGUAACGGCUUACCAAGGCAACGAUGCAUAGCCGACCUGAGAGGGUGAUCGGCCACACUGGAACGGAGACACGGUCCAGACUCCUGCGGGAGGCAGCAGUAGGGAAUCUUCCGCAAUGGGCGAAAGCCUGACGGAGCAACGCCGCGUGAGUGAUGAAGGUCUUCGGAUCGUAAAACUCUGUUAUUAGGGAAGAACAUAUGUGUAAGUAACUGUGCACAUCUUGACGGUACCUAAUCAGAAAGCCACGGCUAACUACGUG